GACACUGACCGCUACGAUCUAGUACGCGGCACAUCAAGCCUUCAAAUGUAAACAACCGAUUUACCUCGAAGCGGAGGAAAGUCGUAUCGGCUAAAUCUGGUCUCUUUUGUAUCUUAUGCCUCAUUUUACUGUCAGCACACCGCUGCUGUUCUGCUGCCCAGAAUUCUGGUGAAGGGCAAUCGCGUUUUGACGGAAAACGAUCUUUAUCAUGCGGUUUCUCUGGCGGCAUCAUCCACCGACGCGAGUCUGGACCCCGCGACAUACGAGCCGGGAAUGGGCUUUCAAGGACUUCAUCUACGCUUCUCCGCGUGAUUCACUCCUGCAAACAUGUAGGAUGUCUCCGGGUGCUGCUGUAUCACUUCAGCCAGUUUUGGAUUAGUAGUUUGCACCGGCACAUUACCUUGUGAGGUGGUUAGCGCUUCACCACCACCCCCCCGAACUAAACUGCUGCCCGCCUGUGUUGAUGCUGGCACCGGAUGUACUUCCGCUUGUAGUACCACCGUUGUACCCAACGAAUUGAUCUGAUGGGCAUGAAUUUGACUAGCUACCAAUUCUAGGACUACUGCCUGUGCCGGAUACAAUCGCGGCGGGCUAUCUGGUUCUCGUAAAUCUCGCGACAA